rnacentral:piRNA from 1 species
UGAGUCAACACCAACAUCCAGGAAUCCAGG